AUCUAGAUAGUUUAAGAUUAAAAUAUUGAUUUGUGGAAUCAAUGAUGUAGGUGUAUUCUAGAUA
rnacentral:tRNA from 2 species